AACGAACGCUGGCGGCAUGCCUAACACAUGCAAGUCGAACGAUACCUUCGGGUCUAGUGGCGCACGGGUGCGUAACGCGUGGGAACCUGCCCUUAGGUUCGGAAUAACUCCCUGAAAGGGGUGCUAAUACCGGAUAAUGUCUUCGGACCAAAGAUUUAUCGCCUUUGGAUGGGCCCGCGUUGGAUUAGCUUGUUGGUAGGGUAAAAGCCUACCAAGGCGACGAUCCAUAGCUGGUCAGAGAGGAUGAUCAGCCACACUGGGACUGAGACACGGCCCAGGAUCCUGGGGGAGGCAGCAGUGGGGAAUAUUGGACUAUGGGCGAAAGCCUGAUCCAGCAAUGCCGCGUGAGUGAUGAAGGCCUUAGGGUUGUGAAGCUCUUUUACCCGGGAUGAUAAUGACAGUACCGGGAGAAUAAGCUCCGGCUAACUCCGUG
rnacentral:rRNA from 1 species